rnacentral:rRNA from 1 species
AACGUACGCUGGCGGCACGCCUAACACAUGCAAGUCGAACGAAGUAGCAAUACUUAGUGGCAGACGGGUGAGUAACAUGUAGGUAUCUACCCUUUGGCCUGGAAUAACACGAGGAAACUUGUGCUAAUACCGGAUAAGUCUUUACGGAGAAAGCUUUAUGCACCAUUGGAUGAGCCUGCACUUGAUUAGUUUGUUGGUGGGGUAAUGGCCUACCAAGACUUUGAUCAAUAGCUGAUUUGAGAGGAUGAUCAGCCACAUUGGGACUGAGACACGGCCCAAACUCCUACGGGAGGCAGCAGUGGGGAAUCUUGCACAAUGGAGGAAACUCUGAUGCAGCGAUGCCGCGUGAGUGAAGAAGGCCUUUGGGUUGUAAAGCUCUUUCGUCGGGGAAGAAAAUGACUGUACCCGAAUAAGAAGGUCCGGCUAACUUCGUCCCAA